UGGCGGCGUGGNUAAGACAUGCAAGUCGAACGAGAGANUUGCUAGCUUGCUAAUAAUUCUCUAGUGGCGCACGGGUGAGUAACACGUGAGUAACCUGCCCCCGAGAGCGGGAUAGCCCUGGGAAACUGGGAUUAAUACCGCAUAGUAUCGAAAGAUUAAAGCAGCAAUGCGCUUGGGGAUGGGCUCGCGGCCUAUUAGUUAGUUGGUGAGGUAACGGCUCACCAAGGCGAUGACGGGUAGCCGGUCUGAGAGGAUGUCCGGCCACACUGGAACUGAGACACGGUCCAGACACCUACGGGUGGCAGCAGUCGAGAAUCAUUCACAAUGGGGGAAACCCUGAUGGUGCGACGCCGCGUGGGGGAAUGAAGGUCUUCGGAUUGUAAACCCCUGUCAUGUGGGAGCAAAUUAAAAAGAUAGUACCACAAGAGGAAGAGACGGCUAACUCUGUGCCAGCAGCCGCGGUAAUACAGAGGUCUCAAGCGUUGUUCGGAAUCACUGGGCGUAAAGCGUGCGUAGGCUGUUUCGUAAGUCGUGUGUGAAAGGCGCGGGCUCAACCCGCGGACGGCACAUGAUACUGCGAGACUAGAGUAAUGGAGGGGGAACCGGAAUUCACGGUGUAGCA
rnacentral:rRNA from 1 species